AAUAGAACUCUAGAAUCUUUCUAAUUAUAGACAUUCACCUUAAAUAGGAGAUUUCAUAACAUCUUUAAUAUUUUUUUUUCUUUUUACAACAUGAUCAACAUUCUCAUAAAAUACUACUUAAAAGUUAACAGAGAAAUACUGAGAGGCAAUAAGUAAAUAAAUAAAAGUCGUGAACUUAACAUUAUGAUUCGAAGCUUGAUUCCAAGAUUGAAAACCUCAAACUUUCAUCUAUAUAGUAAAUUUCCUUGCAUAUGCUUCAAGUAAUCUAAAUAUGCUUAAAGCCUCAUUAAUUGCUAUAAAAAAUUUAUAUUGCAGAGUUUAAGGGUUAUAUGGGAUCGCAGAAAAUAAAUAUAACAAUGAAGAACGCAAGCUAAACAAUGAAAACAACAGGAAACAACCGCAAAGCAGCAGCAAAACAAGUAGCAAAUUCGUGUUUAAACAACCCGAAAACUUAGAGAAGAAACCCAGAAACGAACUCUAAAGAAGACUUAUACUUUUCUAAAAGUUUGUAUUCUCAGAUUCACUCCUAAAGCUCAUCUUUUCAGCUUACCUUUUUUUAAGUUCAGUUGCUGAUUUUUACUCCUAAAAUUAUAUUUUUUUAGUGUGUAAAAUGUCUAGCCAAUAUAUGAUCGAGUGUGUGUGUUUAGUGUGAAAAAUGACCUCUUUAAGUAGGAAACAUAGAUCUUUAAGUAAGAGACGGCUAUCUAGGAUUUCAAUUUCACAGAGCUUAGAGGGGUUUUUGAGGAUUUGGGGCUCGGAUUAGGAGUUAGGGGAGUGAGAGGAAGAGAUGGUGAGAUUUUGGAGUGGAUUGGAGGUUGGUUGCCGCCGAUGGUGAAUUCCGACGGACGGCGCUAGGCGGCGACAUGCUGAGCUGCUGGGAGGAGAAAGAAAAGAGAGAGAAAGAAGAGAUGGGAGAGAAGAAGAGA
rnacentral:lncRNA from 1 species